rnacentral:ncRNA from 1 species
AAUCCUAAUUCAUUUUAGGAUAACCCUUUGAACUUAAGCAUAUCAGUAAAAGGAGGAAAAGAAACUAACAAGGAUUUCUUUAGUAGUGGCGAAUGAACAAGAAAAAACUCAUUAUGUAAUCUAUAUUCAUUAUAGAGAUGUUAAAAGUUAUUGUUGUCAUUCAAAUCAUAGAUACAUUAAAUUGUAGUAAAUGAUGACGAUAAAUAAACAAUGUAGAGUACGAUUGCUUGGUAGUGCAAUUGGAAUAUAGAUAGAAUAAAAUAUCUAAAGUUAAAUAUAAAUGACAUACCGAUAGAGAAUAAGUACUGCGAAGGAACUUGUGAAAAUGGUAGUAUUAGCUUAUAGUAAUUAUAAGACCCGUCUUGAAACACGGACCAAGGAGAUUACCAGAUGACAGUAUUAAAGAAUCAUAGGUGAUUUGUCAUCUGG